UGGGGAAUAUUGGGCAAUGGGCGCAAGCCUGACCCAGCGACGCCGCGUGGGUGACGAAGGCCUUAGGGUUGUAAAACUCUUUCGUCGGGGACGAUAAUGACGGUACCCGAAGAAGAAGCUCCGGCUAACUUCGUGCCAGCAGCCGCGGUAAUACGAAGGGAGCUAGCGUUGUUCGGAAUCACUGGGCGUAAAGCGCACGUAGGCGGAUAGUUAAGUCAGGGGUGAAAUCCUGGGGCUCAACCCCAGAACUGCCUUUGAUACUGGCUGUCUCGAGGUCGAGAGAGGUUGGUGGAAUUCCUAGUGUAGAGGUGAAAUUCGUAGAUAUUAGGAAGAACACCAGUGGCGAAGGCGGCCAACUGGCUCGAUACUGACGCUGAGGUGCGAAAGCGUGGGGAGCAAACAGGAUUAGAUACCCCCGUAGUCCCUGAGCGGGCUGGCAAGGCGCAU
rnacentral:rRNA from 1 species